rnacentral:tRNA from 1 species
GCGUCAGUGGCACAACGGUAGAGUGCUUGUCGGCCACACUGUUGGUCCGAGGUUCGAUCCCCCGCCGACGCA